rnacentral:misc_RNA from 1 species
UCACACUCUUAGGAACAAACUCUAAAUCUUAAAUCUCAACAAAGUUUAAAAAAAAAACUUUCAACAACGGAUCUCUUGGUUCUCGCAUCGAUGAAGAACGCAGCGUAUUGCGAUACGUAAUAUGACUUGCAGACGUGAAUCAUUGAAUCUUUGAACGCACAUUGCGCCUUAAGGUAUUCCUCAAGGCAUGCGUGAAUGAGCGAUAUUUACCCUCAAACCCUUGGUUUGGUCUUGGCCCUAAAUAUCAACCGGUACUAGAAUAAGUUUUAGAACCUACCCUACUUUCUCAUUUUCGUAAGACUACCCGCUGAACUUAAGCAUAUCAAUAAGCGGAGGAA